GCUGACGAGUGGCGGACGGGUGAGUAAUGUCUGGGAAACUGCCUGAUGGAGGGGGAUAACUACUGGAAACGGUGGCUAAUACCGCAUAACGUCGCAAGACCAAAGAGGGGGACCUUCGGGCCUCUUGCCAUCAGAUGUGCCCAGAUGGGAUUAGCUUGUUGGUGAGGUAACGGCUCACCAAGGCGACGAUCCCUAGCUGGUCUGAGAGGAUGACCAGCCACACUGGAACUGAGACACGGUCCAGACUCCUACGGGAGGCAGCAGUGGGGAAUAUUGCACAAUGGGCGCAAGCCUGAUGCAGCCAUGCCGCGUGUAUGAAGAAGGCCUUCGGGUUGUAAAGUACUUUCAGCGGGGAGGAAGGUGUUGUGGUUAAUAACCGCAGCAAUUGACGUUACCCGCAGAAGAAGCACCGGCUAACUCCGUGCCAGCAGCCGCGGUAAUACGGAGGGUGCAAGCGUUAAUCGGAAUUACUGGGCGUAAAGCGCACGCAGGCGGUCUGUCAAGUCGGAUGUGAAAUCCCCGGGCUCAACCUGGGAACUGCAUUCGAAACUGGCAGGCUUGAGUCUUGUAGAGGGGGGUAGAAUUCCAGGUGUAGCGGUGAAAUGCGUAGAGAUCUGGAGGAAUACCGGUGGCGAAGGCGGCCCCCUGGACAAAGACUGACGCUCAGGUGCGAAAGCGUGGGGAGCAAACAGGAUUAGAUACCCUGGUAGUCCACGCCGUAAACGAUGUCUACUUGGAGGUUGUGCCCUUGAGGCGUGGCUUCCGGAGCUAACGCGUUAAGUAGACCGCCUGGGGAGUACGGCCGCAAGGUUAAAACUCAAAUGAAUUGACGGGGGCCCGCACAAGCGGUGGAGCAUGUGGUUUAAUUCGAUGCAACGCGAAGAACCUUACCUGGUCUUGACAUCCACAGAACUUUCCAGAGAUGGAUUGGUGCCUUCGGGAACUGUGAGACAGGUGCUGCAUGGCUGUCGUCAGCUCGUGUUGUGAAAUGUUGGGUUAAGUCCCGCAACGAGCGCAACCCUUAUCCUUUGUUGCCAGCGGUCCGGCCGGGAACUCAAAGGAGACUGCCAGUGAUAAACUGGAGGAAGGUGGGGAUGACGUCAAGUCAUCAUGGCCCUUACGACCAGGGCUACACACGUGCUACAAUGGCGCAUACAAAGAGAAGCGACCUCGCGAGAGCAAGCGGACCUCAUAAAGUGCGUCGUAGUCCGGAUUGGAGUCUGCAACUCGACUCCAUGAAGUCGGAAUCGCUAGUAAUCGUGGAUCAGAAUGCCACGGUGAAUACGUUCCCGGGCCUUGUACACACCGCCCGUCACACCAUGGGAGUGGGUUGCAAAAGAAGUAGGUAGCUUAACCUUCGGGAGGGCGCUUACCACUUUGUGAUUCAUGACUGGGGUGAAGUCGUAACAAGGUAACCGUAGGGGAACCUGCGGUUGGAUCACCUCCUUACCU
rnacentral:rRNA from 2 species